AUUAACUUCUAGCCACAGAGAGCAGAUUGCAUGUCUCUGUUUUGGGUCAUGCUGUCUGGCCUGCUCACAUUUCUGUGCCUUAGCUCCUACUGUUCCUUCUCCCUGUAAUAUUUAAAUGUCCAUUUUCUCCUCUAAACUGCAAACAUCUUGAGGGCAGAACCUAUAUCUUACUCCAAAUUCCUAUUCCCAGCCCCUACCAUGGUGCUUAACACAGAAGAGAUACUCAAUAAUUAUUUGCUGAACUGAAUCAAAAAGUUAAAUAAAAAAACUAUUUACAUUUGGCUUUCAAAUUGGUUUUGUACUAACAUUUGAAUAUGGAUAGAGUUGAUUGGGAAAAUCACACAACUGCAAACAAAAUAACGGAACUACACUGUAAUGAACUGAAUCCAAAGGUGCUGGGGAAAUGAACAGUUUCUAAUUCCUAUUCAUUGCUGAGAAUUCUUCAUACUUACCACUACAGGCUUUAUAUGAAUUAUCUCACUUACUUUUUGUAACUAAACAAUGAAUUAAAUACCAUUAUUUUAUCUCUUUUUGCAGAUGAGAAACUGAAGCUCAGAAAAGUAACUUGCCCAAGAUCUCACAGCUAACAGUGUGGAAGCCAGGGAUAGAAUACAAGCAGCCUGACUCCAGUGCAGACACCGGAGUCACUUAACCCCUAAUACUCUACCCCUUUCUGUUAUUAGGGACUGGCACACAGGAAGUACUCGAUAAGGCUCAGUUGGGAUAAUGUUGUUCACCGUGUUGGUAGUCCUAAAUGGCCAAAGGACAGAAAACUUCAACUCUCAGGUCAGGGCAGUGGACCUGAGGGUGCUUUUGGCCUGCAGGGGGCAGUACAUCCCACAGAUGUUCCACAAGAGCCACACCCAGACUGGCCAGGAGGCUCUGCCAACAAUAGGGAAACUGGGUCAGGAAGGCUAGGGCUGUAAGGGAACUGGGGGAAUGCAAGACUUGUCAGCAAGAGGGAGGAAAGAAGGAGAGUGACAGUGAGAAAGGCAAGCCAGUCUGGGGCAAGAAAAGAGAAAAGAGGGGGUCUGGGGACCCUCCUUCCAGAAAAAAAACAGAAUUGUAUCAUAAAUUUUAGACCACAAAGGGAAUUCCAUGAUAACAUUAAUAAUGACAGCCAAUGUGCUAAACACUUUACAUAUCUUAACUUAUUUAAUCCUCAGAGCAAUCCUGUGAAGUAGGCGCUAUAAUUCACUAUCUUACAGAUACAGGACAUGAGGUACUGAGAGGUUAAGUAACUUUCGAAACACAGCAAGGAGCAGGGCCAGGUUUCAAACAUAGGCAGUCUGGCUGCAGAGCCUGUGCUCUAACCCUCUGCUAUUGCCUCUGGUGAUCAGACAGUCCACUGCCUCCUGAUUCGGAUGAAAAAAAAUGAGGCUCCAUGACCUCUCCCCAAGGUUACAAGUUGGUCAGUAGCUAUAACAAGUAAGUUAAUGAUCUGCAAAAAGUCAUUAUUUGCUUCAUGAAGUUUAUGUUUUAAAGUAAGCAGUGCCACUGGCUGGUCUUAUGACCCAGGCAAAGUCCCCCGGGUUUAAAGUUAGGAGGUUUCUGCAUCCCAGCACAUUGCUAAGACCAAUUCCCUGCAGGAAGCCGUCUUUUGUUCAUUUACCAAACAUUACCAAAUACUCAGUAUGUACCAGGCCCUAGGCAUCGGGAUAGAAAGUUGAGCAAGACACAGCCCUGCACUCAAGGAGCUCCAGCUGUUCUGGAGAAAGCCAGCUGCCAUGUCAUAAGCAGCCCUAAGGAGAAGUCCACAGAUGAGAAACUGAGGCCUCCUCCCGGCGAUCCUGUGAGUGAGUCAUGUUGGAAGCAGACCCUCAAGCCCAGUCAAGCCUUCAGACAACUGCAACCUCAUAACAGACCAUAAGCCAGAACCACACAGAUAAGCUGCUUUGGGAUUCCUGAAUUAGAAAAACUGUGUGAUAUAAUAAAUAUUGUUUGAAGUA